GCAGACUCACUCUGUUUAAGACUGAAACAUCCAGUCUUAAACUUUCUUCGUCUGCAACAGUCACAUGCAGAAUGUACAAAUUGCCUUACCAUUACAUUGAAGGUGACAGUACUUUCUGAUACAUUCAG